rnacentral:rRNA from 1 species
UACGUAGGGUGCAAGCGUUGUCCGGAAUUAUUGGGCGUAAAGAGUUCGUAGGUGGUUCGUUAAGUCUGGUGUAAAAGACUGGGGCUCAACCCUGGGAUCGCACUGGAUACUGGCGGACUGGAGUGUGGUAGAGGCAAGUGGAAUUCCCAGUGUAGCGGUGAAAUGCGUAGAUAUUGGGAAGAACACCGGUGGCGCAAGCGACUUGCUGGGCCAUAACUGACACUGAGGAACGAAAGCUAGGGGAGCGAAUGGG